rnacentral:rRNA from 1 species
ACGGAAGGCAGCAGUGAGGAAUAUUGCACAAUGGGGGAAACCCUGAUGCAGCGACGCCGCGUGAGUGAAGAAGUAUUUCGGUAUGUAAAGCUCUUUAAGCAGGGAAGAAAAUGACGGUACCUGCAGAAUAAGCCCCGGCUAACUACGUGCCAGCAGCCGCGGUAAUACGUAGGGGGCAAGCGUUAUCCGGAUUUACUGGGUGUAAAGGGAGCGUAGACGGUAUGGCAAGCCCGAUGUGAAAACCCGAGGCUCAACCUCGGGAUUGCAUUGGGAACUGUCAAACUAGAGUGUCGGAGAGGUAAGUGGAAUUCCUAGUGUAGCGGUGAAAUGCGUAGAUAUUAGGAGGAACACCAGUGGCGAAGGCGGCUUACUGGACGACUACUGACGUUGAGGCUCGAAAGCGUGGGGAGCAAACAGGAUUAGAUACCCUGGUA